GGUUAUUUUCAUGUGUAUGUAGUUUUAUCCUUACUUUGAAUACCAUACCUUGGUCUAUAACUUUGUAUCUAUAAUCCUAUUUAUCUACUGAUAAAAUGCAAGAAGGCAUUCAAUUUUUUUUUUUUUUUUUGAGACAGUCUUGCUCUGUUCCCAGGCUGGAGUGCAGUGGUGUGCUCUCAGCUCGCUGCAACCUCUGCCUCCAGGGUUCAAGUGAUUCUCCUGCCUUAGCCUCCUGAGUAGCUGGGACUAUAGACACAUGAGACCACGUCCAGCUAAUUUUUGUAUUUUUCGAGACAAGGUUUCACCAUAUUGGCCAGGAUGGUCUCGAUAUCUAGACCUCAUGAUCUGCUCAUCUUGGCCUCCUAAAAUGCUGGGAUUACAGGCAUGAGCUACCAUGCCUGACAGAAAACAUUCAAUUUUAUGAGGGCAUGCAUUUACCUUUAAUUUCUGUUUAAAGCUUGUGGUGUGUGUUUUAACAAACAGUACAGUAACCUUUAAUAGCACUUCCCACUUUCACUCUGCAGUCUUUGUAAAAGGAACUGAAUUGUUUAUAGAAUACUGCAAGCUUUUGGUAAAGUACAUGUUUUUAAAUCGUGUUAAUUGUGUAAAGAAAAGAGAGUCUUGAGCUUGUUAAAAAUUAUUCCUGUCAAGUGCCAUGUAGCUUCACAUGUCAAACGUAACUUGAUAAUGUUUUUCCCAAGUGGCCAUGUCUUAACAAUUUAUGUUCCAGAAGGAGUUUCUUGGAAGGAAUUAAAUAAUGAGAGGUCACAUUUUUCUUUCAAGUUCGAUUUUCAAAGUGAAGAUGAACUUCUGUUUCUUAAUUUAAACUUAAAAAAAAUUCAACAAGAGCCUUUAGCGUUGUGCAAUGACUCUGUUAUAUGGAGCUGGGCUUCCCUAUCUCUGUCAGCAGAAAUGAAACUUGAUUUUUUUUUUGGUAGCUAUAAAAAUGAAGAAAUAAGAGUAAAGAAUGCCGAGUCUAGAAACUGUUCUAGUCACUUAAAUCUUAGCUGCAUAAAUGUGUGUUUAUAUUCAUGGGGCAGGGCAAAAUAAGAGUUUUUUUUUUUGUUAAAUGCCACCCCCUGCCCAAAUAUUCCUUUGCAAAUUCCAAAUGCCACCCCCUGCCCAAAUAUUCCUUUGCAAAUUCCUCAGACUUUCUCAUUGAAAACAUAUGAAUAGCUAAAAAUGAGUAUUUAGCAUGAAUAGAAAAUACACAGUUUUUAUAGUGAAAUUCCAAUCAAGUUACUGGAUUCCAAGUUAUAGGAAUUCCAGUUGGUUAUUCAUUUGUUCUUGAUAUUCGAGCUAAUGGAGAAGAGAUAAUAGACAUAAUAUGGAAAUAUUUUUAUUAGAAGUCCUUGAAAAGGAAUAUAUUUCAUGUUUUAGGAGACAGUGUAGUAUUUCAAAUUGAGAUAUGGUCAAUAUCUAUUUCAGAAAGAACUGGAAAGUGUUCUUAAUUACCUAUUAUGUUCCUUUUGCUCAGAUAUUCUGCUUGUACUUGAUUUCAUGUUAGAAUUAGAUCAUAUUGCCCCUCAGAUGGCUUCACAGAUCUAAACCAAGCUGAAGUAUUCUUUCAGUAUUCUAUGGCUUUUUAAAAUAUUUUUUUCCCUGAGUUAUAGAGAAUAUUUACCUAAUUCCAUUUUAAGUCUUAUUGUUGAGUGGUGGGUGGUCAGAGGAAUGACUAUGAAGGCAAAAGAAAACCGUAGGGAGGAGGAGUGAUGAAAUUCCUUCUUGACUGAUAGUUAUUGCACACUUAAAAAAAAAAAAAACCUGAGCAUUCAAAGAUGUAACUGUUACGAGAUUGUUAAACUGCCUUCUUUGACUUUUUCCCCUUUGGCUAUAGAGGAUUUAUGAUGAAAAAGUUUUCAUUUUACACUGUAUACAAUUUCUCUUGAUGAAUGAGCUGACUUCAUGGCCAUGGACAUGAGCCCUGGGCAUUAGCCAGUGCGAAAAACCUAUGGUCGUGAGUAGUCACUCAGAAAUUUUAGCUGAUUUUAAAGAAAUUUUCUUCCGUGUCUCCUAACAUCAUGCUGCUUUUGCUCUUCUGUGUUUUUUUAGUUUUAGGUAUUGUUAUCUAUUGACUUCAAGUUGAGGAUUUAGCCCUUUUUUCCUUCCCUGCACUCACCCCCGCAUAGGUAUACCUCCCAUCCCAUUUCUUCUCUAUCCACUUAUAUUGCUUUGUUUAGUUCAGCCUUCCCUGUGUAUAGCGUUAAGGCAGCGUCCACCCUUCAAGCAGAGACACAUCAUCAAACAUGAUGGCUUUUCCUUUAUUUUACAACUUUUGUCUCUCCUGACCUAAAUAAUGGCUUUUUGGGGUGUGUAUGUUUUUGUGUGUUUGUUGUUGUUUCAACUUCCACCUCUACCCUAUCAGUAUCUUCUUUUUACCUUAAGAACUCAGUCAGUUUUAUCUCCCAGAGCCUUCCAAUCUGAUUUAAUCUAAUCUAUAUGAAAGUUCCUCUCAUCCUAGAGACUUCCUUUCUCUUCUGAUGCCUGUCUCCCCUGAUAACUUUCUUGGUUUACUUCUUCAUUUGAUGGAGACCUGCCUCUGAUAUCUUUUUUGUUUUUGUUUUUGUUUUGAGACAGAGUCUAGCUCUGUUGCCCAGGCUGGAAUGCAGUGGUGGGAUCUCAGCUCAACCUCUGCCUCCUGGGUUCAAGCGAUUCUUCUGCCUCAGCCUGCUGAGUAGCUGGGAUUACAGCUAUGCACUCCCACACCUGGCUAAUUUUUGUGUUUUUUUUAGUAGAGAUGGGAUUUCAUCAUGUUGGCCAGGCUGGGCUCAAACUGGUGAGCUCAAACAGUCUUUCUGUCUGGGCUUCUCAAAGUGCUGGGAUUACAGGCUUGAGCCACCAGCCCUCUGAUAUCUAAGAAAGAUUAGUAGAUGCAUAUUUUGUAUAUGUCUUCUCUCUCAUUUAAUGGAUAGUUUUACUGGCUAAGAAAUUCUAGAUUAAAAAUCCUUUACCCUUUCUAUUUUGAAGACAUUGUUCCUUUAGCUUCUUUAACCAUUUAGUUUCCAGUGUUGGUAUUGAAAAGCUCAAGAUGUUCUGAUUCCUGAUCAUUUGUAUGUAACUUUCUUUUCCUUGAUAAAAGCUUUUGUGAUCAGCUUUUUAAUCCCAGCGUUUUGAAAUUUCACAGUGAUGUCCUUUGGGGUGUCCUUUGUUGGGUACUUGAUGAGUUCUUUGAAUCUAGAAGCUGUUUUUCUUUAGUGCUGAAAUUUUUUUCUUAUUUAAUUCUUAGUUUAUAAUUAUUUUUCUUUUUGUAUUUUCAGAUGUUAGAUCUUCUGGACUGAUACUUAAAUUUCCUUUUCUCUAUGCUUUUCUGUCUCACUGUCUUUUAGUUUUACUUUCUGGGCCAUUAAAAAAAAUUAUUUUUGUUUACAUAGCAAAAGCAUUGAUAUUUAUUUUUAUUUUAUUUUUUAGAGACAGAAUCUUGCUCUGUCACUCAGUAUGGAAUAUAGUGGCACGUUCAUAGUGCACUGCAGCCUCAAACUCCUAGCCUCAAGUGCUGCUCCUGCCUCAGCUUCCUGAGUGGGACUCCAGACAUGCACCACCAUGCCUGGCUAAUUUUUAAAACUUUUUGGUAGAGGUAGGAGUCUCACUAUGCUGCUCAUCUCGAACUCCUGGCCUAAGUGAUCCUCUCUCCUCAGCCUCUCAGGAUGCUGGGAUUACAGGCAUUGAGCCACUGUGCUUGGCCUAUCUGGUCCAUUUCUUAUUCUUUCUUUUUCAGUCUUUCUACUGAGCUUUUCAUUUCUGCUAUCAGGUUUUUCCAUAUGCAAGAGCUUUUUCUGUUGUUGUUCUGGGUAUUCUUUUAUAUAACAUCCUGCUUUUAGUUUAUUGAUGUACUUUCUCUUCUUAUCUCUGAGACUAGUGAGUUUUUAAAGUUUACUUUUUACCUUCCCAGGUGUUUGCUGCAAGUUUUUUUUUUUUUUUUCUGCUUGGAUCUCUCUUCCAUUUGAAUGAUUUUCUGAGGUGUCUAGUAGCCUCUGGCUUCUCUAUUCAUAUAAGAGAGUGGGGCACUCAAAGGCUGCUUGGAAAGUCUGAGUGUUUGAAGGAAGCUUUUGGCUGGGUGAGCAGCGUUGUGGGGAAGAGCACCUGUCAGUAAUUUGAUUGAUUGAUUUUAUUUUUAUUUUAUAUUUUGAGAUGGUGUCUCGCUCUGUCACUUAGGUUGGAGUGUAGUGGCACAAUUUCUGCUCAUUGCAACCUCCACCUCCCAGGUUCAAGCAAUUCUCCUGCCUCAGCCUCCCAAGUAGCUGGGAUUACAGGCACAUGCCACCAUGCCUAGCUAAAUUUUGUAUUUUUAAUAGAGACGGGAUUUGACCAUGUUGGCCAGGCUGGUCUCGAACUCCUGACCUCAGGUAAUACACCCACUUUGGCCUCCCAAAGUGCUGGGAUUACAGGUGUGAGCCACCAUGCCCGGCCUGUCAGUAACUUUAUUUAGGUCAUCUUAGGCUGCUCAGUUUCACCAAAGAAGAUUCUUUUAAUCUCUUAGCUGGCUGGUAAGGCCCUGCUGUCAACUUUCCAGAAGCUGUGUCUCCUGGAAAGAAGCCUGGGUCUCAGCAAUCAGAAUGCAUCUUUUUACUUAAUUCCUCUAUGUUUGGUAGGUUCUCAACUAUGCUUCGUAUUCUCAGACCAGAAAUCUUCUGUUUUAACCUUUUCUGAGAGUUAACAUCCAGUUUUCUGCCAGGAUGGGAAGGGUGGCCACUGGUGGCUUGGAUUGUGGUCAGGAGAUGUAGGGUUCAAACUGCUUAACAUUUUCAGCCAAUUCUUAUUUUAGCUGUUUCUUCUUCCCCAGGAAAAUUAAUUCACCUUUACUUUCAGAAGUCCAAUACCUGUGCUUUGGGAACUGGGCAGCAUGAAGGGCAGAGGUUCUUAGCUUUCCCCUGAGCUGAUUUAGGAUUGGCUUCAUCAAGUCACCAGUCUCUUGUGACUCAACCUUUUGUUCUCCAUCUUCCAAAAAUUUUCUUGUCACCUCUUCCCCAUUCUCUCUAUCUUCUUAAAACAAUAUCUUUGCUGCAGUUUCAGUGGGGCUUUGAAAGGGGUCUAGGUUCGACAUCUGUGUUCAUUUUGCCCCCUUUGCUAGAACUCCAGGACACUUUUUAUGUGUGUUUUCCUAUCUCAAGCAGAAUGCCUUUCCUCUGCUUUCCUGCCUGUCCUGUUCUGUGAAGGGUACCACCAUGAUUUUAGCCAUCAGACCAGAAUGUAAGAGUCAGCUUUGACUUUUCCAUUUCCCUUGCUUUCCUCAUUGUAUAUCCAGCCAGUGAACAUUUUUUCUUGUUUUUAAAUUCUUUUUUUCUUUCCUUUUAAAAAAGUUUACUUCAUUUUAAAUUGACAGAUAAUAAUUGCAUAUAUUUAUGGGGUGCAAUGUGAUGUUUUGAUACAUGUGUAUAUUGUAGAAUGAUGGACUCAGGCUAGUUAGCAAAAUAAUUUCUUUUCUUUCUUUUACUUGAGAUGGAGUUUCACUCUUGUUGGCCAGGGUGGAGUGCAAUGGCACGUUCUCGGCUCACUGCAGUCUUCACCUCCCAGGUUCAAGUGAUUCUCCUGCCUUAGCCUCCCUGGUAGCUGGGAUUACAGGCAUGUACCACCAUGCCCAGCUAAUUUUAUAUUUUUAGUAGAGAUGGGGCAUUCUGUAUUUUUAGUAGAGACAAAUCCCUGACAUCAGGUGAUCCAUCCACCUCAGCCUCUUAAAGUGUUGGGAUUACGGGCAUGAGUCACUGCACCCAGCCACAAGUUCUUUUCCAACAAGGUCUCUCUGUCUGAUAAAUCACCAGGUCCUCAUGUUUCUGGAGGGGCUGCCGAUGCUGGUUUAACCUGUGGUGUGUAUGUCCACUAAAAUAAAUUCUUUCUGAGUGGUCCUAAGUGUGCCCCACAGUUAAAAACAAAUAUGUUAGAAUAUUUUUUUCUCAUUUCAAAGGAAGUUUAAUAUUAACUGUUAAAAUUAUAGGACUGUAUAAAAUUCUAGAACUAUGAAGAAAGUCAUGAACUUUUUUCAUAGUCCUAACCCUCAGCUGUAGUUACUGUUAGCAAUUUGUACAUAACAGAUACAUUUGAAAAUCAAGUCUAUUUUCUAAGUAUCAACACUUAAUUUGAUAUUUCCUUGUCUACAUGAAUGUUAGUGAGGAAAUGGAAAGGACAUGAAAGAAGAGAAGAUAAUGAACAAAAUAUACAUUCCUCAAGCAGGCAGUUAAAGAGUCUGAAAUUCUUUCUGUUAGCUGUUCUGCAUUUUGAUUUACUUGGAAUUUGGUGAGUGAAUGAAAUUCUAGAAGAGAACUGAAAACAUUGUGGUUGAACAAACAUUGACAUUUUAUCCUCCGUUUCUUUCUCUCUGUAGAAUAAUGUCUCAAGUAUAUGCAUUUCCAUUCAGUCUUUUCUAGAGAAACUAUGUUAUGCUGAGUGAUGGUUAUGUUGUCCUCCUUAAUUUUUUAUAUACAGCUCAACAGUGGUUUCACUGACAUGAUUUCUGCAUUGUCUCAGAUUAUGGUAUAAUAUAUAAAAAUUCAAGGUUUGGUGUAGACUAGAAAGCAGUUCUUAGUUGAAGUUUUCUGCGACUUCAGGUUAUCUUUUAGUACUGAAAAAAUUUUUUUUUUUAUUUUGAUACGGAGUUUCGCUGUUGUUACCCAGACUGGAGUGCAAUGGCACGAUCUCGGCUCACCGCAACCUCCACCUCCUGGGUUUAAGCAAUUCUCCUGCUUCAGCCUCCCGAGUAGCUGGGACUACAGGCAUGCACCACCAUGCCCAGCUAAUUUUUGUAUUUUUAGUAGAGACGGGGUUUCACCUUGUUGACGAGGAUGGUCUUGAUCUCUUGACCUUGUGAUCCACCCACCUCGGCCUCCCAAAGUAUUGGGAUUAUGGGCGUGAGCCACUGUGCCCAGCCAAUACUGAAAAAUUUUUACUUUGGUUUUUCUUGUUAUGCUUAUUCUAUUAUUAAAGUUAGAAAUGGGACUCCUUGUCUUUCUACAUUUAGAGCUGCUACUGGGGUUGCAAUUCUAGUCGUUUGCCUUUGCUAAGGAAUUGCCAUAUUUUAGGAAUAUUGACAGCAGGUGGUAUUGAGGGCCCCAAAUUAUCUGGUGGAACACAACUCUGGAACACUAAUGGUUGCAAGUGGAAAGAUGCAAUUGGACAUUAAAGAAAAACCUGACAUAUUCUAUACAUUUCAGUGAAAGCAUUUUUUUCAUAAGAGAGAGUAUGUGUUUAAUUCAGUAUUGUUGGUGUUGCUAAAAACAUUAUUGGAUUAAAAAAAAAUUGAAUGUGGAAUCUGUUAAUACAUUUAUAUUUUUAGUUCAUACUCUUAUUAGUGGUGUGAUUAAAUUCCCAUGGAAAAGAUUCCAGUGUUACAGAAGCUAUGCUCUGCACUCCCCAGUCCUGCUCCUCUCUUCAGAGUGAGUCAUUGUCAACAUUAGGGUGUCCAUCCUCACAUUCUAUGUUACUGUUCCCCUCCUGUAUAUCAGUACAUAUAUAUACAUUCCUUUCUUUAAAAAAAUGACCAGGAUCAUAUUAUAUAUAAAUUGUGACUUGAGUGAUUUUCCUUUUAACAAUAUGUCUCUCAGUUUUCUGUGUCUAUUUAUUCUUUUAACAAUGUCUCUCAGUUUUCUGUGUCUGUUCGUACGAAUUUGUCAUUAUCUUCUUUUAUGAUUACCUAGUUUUCCACUGUAUGAUUGUCAUCAUUUGUGUUGUCCUCCUACUGAGUAGACAUUUGGAUUGCUUUUAGGUUUUGGCCAUUUCAAAUCUUGUUGCAGUGAACAUCCUUGUACGUACCUCAUCAUGUGGCACUGUCAUAAAGACAUCUAGCAUUACCAUAAAGCUGUCCUUUGAGGAGUGUAGAUUUGAUGAUUGGGAACAGCCUGUAUAGGGCAACUAUUCUGGUAAUCAAGCUCUUCGGGAAUUCUAAUUUUGGCAUAGAAGGAGAGUUUUCAGAUUUAUUGCCGGAAUAAGUUUCUCAAGAUUAUUAACUUGAAUGAUGAUACAUAAGUCAUAAAUGUCCAGCAGUAAAUGUCUAGCAGUAAAUGGUGUGUGUGUAUGUGUUGUCAGUUUAUCUCCUUAUUUUAUAGUCAACCAUAUUAGAUAUAACUUGUGAAUUUUAUUCAGUUAUAAUAGAUGAUUUUUCUGAAGCUUUAGUUAAAUAAGCUUAUUUCUAUUCCUCAUUGUCUUUUUCCCCCAAGUUCUAAUUGCUUUUGACUGGGUUGCCUGUCUUCCAGUUUGUCAGUCUGGAUAAGCCUACUUACUCUUUCAAGGAAGUUGCACCUGAGCUCAGUUGUGAACUCUUGCCUGUUCCUGUCCCUCGUCAGUCUCCUGUGUGGUCUUCAUGGUGUCUUGUGCCUACCUGCUCUAGAGUAUCUGAAGGUUGUAUUGUGGUUCUUUCUUUACUGUGUAUGUCCUUAUGGAUUAAGUGCCUCAAGAGCUAGCAUUGUUUUAUGGAUAAUUUUAUUUUCAGUAGACAAAGUGAAUGUCAAAUACGUGACUGAAUAUAGUAGUGGGCUUAACUACAGAGAGAGCCUGGGGCUUAAACUGGGGAGGAACUUAAUCACUAGGGAGUAAAGCUUGUGGUUAAUUCAGUGGGAAAAUAAAGGUUUUUUAUUAGAGGGGUGAUAGGAUUAUAGCUGUAAUUAUAUGCAAUAGAGAACUGAGACAGAAGUUGAAAAACAAAUUGGGAUAUGAUGAAAGUGGUCUGGCGUAUAUUUGUGUAGUGAUAAUGGAAAAAAGGGGAGCUAGUAUUAAUAAUUUGGAAUAGAAUUUACCACAAUUGACAAGUGAUUGUGUUCAGCAUUCAUUCAUUCAUCCAUCUAUCUUGCUAACAGGCUGAGCAGCACUGAGUCAAGCAGUGUGCUGACCAUUGAUAGUAAAAUGCAAAGGACAGGCGUAAACCAAACGUGCUGAGCAGGAAGGAGAGUAGGUGGCCUCUGUGAAGAGAAUACCAUCUACAGAAGUUGUAAAGUCAGGAAGAAGGAACUGGUUUUGUCCGACAUUUUUUUUUUUUUUUUUAGCUUUUAGACUCAUAGAUGUUAAACUCCCUGGGGAUAUUCAGCAGGAUGUUGGCAAUAUGAAUUUUUUUGAAAUAGAUUUUGAGUUUCGUCUGUGUGGUUGAAGAUGGUUGAAGCCACAGAAGUGAAAAAUGGCAAAGAAUUAGAUUUAGAGUUAUUGGAAGGUUAAGUUGAUUUGCGUUAUGACAGCAUAUAAGCCAAGCAUUACUAAAAAUGGAAAUAAAAACUGAGCAGUUAACACUGAAUUUGGGUGAAAGAAGAGAAGAAUGGAAAAUAGACAAAAUGAAUGAAGAUGAAGGGCCAAAUAACUCCUAAUUUUAUCUUCCUCUUACUUCACUUUUCUGACUUGGCUUCUGUGAUGGUUGAUAUGUGUCUGCUUGCUGGGCGAUAGUGCCCAGAUCAUCUAAUCUGAUGUUUGACCAAACAUCUGGGCCUACCAAGUUUCUGUGAAGUUUUCACAGAAAACUUGUUUCUGUGAAGGAAUUAUUUUUUUCAGAUGUGAUUAGCAUUUAAAUCAGUAGACUUUGAGUAAAGCUGGGUAGACCUCGUCUAAUCAGUUGAAUGUCUUAAGAUACAAAGUGAAGAUUCCCCACACCCUGACCCCAGGGAGAAAUUCUGUCUCCACACUGCCUUCUGAAUUGAUCUGUGACUUCAGCUCUUUCCUGGGGCUCCAGCCUGCUGACCUGCUUUGCAGAUUUUGGAUUAACCAGCUCCCACAAUUGCAUGAGCCAAUUUUAAAAAUAAAUCUUUUUCUAGACUGAUGAGUAGAUAAAGAUGUAGCUAUAGAUUGAUUUCUAUGUUUGCCUGUAUCCAUCUGUUGAUAUGUAUCAUAUUGGUUGUGUUUCUCUGGAAGACCUUGACUACUACAGAUUUUCACAUAACUAGAGUCAGAGCUGUGUUUUCUAUUUAUUGAGCUUGUUCUUUAGGAUUUAGCUCCAUUCCUGAUUCUUUGAGUCCUUUGACAGACAGUUCUUCUCUUUCCAGGCAAUUAUCUGAUUUUCCUUUUGUUCAGUAAGUGCCCUGUGUGUCUCUCUCUUAUGUCAUUAUCAUAUUGUCAUUCUUAGCAUAUGUGCUUUUUCCCUCAAACUAAUCUGUGAACUUCUUGCAAACUAGGACUUGCUCCUACUAGCUUGUGUAGCUUGGGUACCCAGCCUACUUGGCAUGUAAGAAUUUGUCACUGUGACAAAUAGACACAUAGAAAGAAAUGAUAUUUCACAUAGAAAGAAAUGAUAUUUCUUUACUGGUACCAAUAGACACACAGUGACAAAUAGACACACAGGUAAGAAUUUGUCACUGUGUGUCUAUUGGUACUAGGAAAGAUGAUACUAGGAAAGAAUGAAAAGGAGAAACAUUAAAAUGUAAAGUUAAUGUGACCAAAAAGCCAGGAGAGGUUAGCAAGCACAUGGUGAAUAUCUUCUGGAUAUUACCCUGGAGUAAAGGUGUGAAAUUGUGGAAAGUAGAAAAGUUUCUCUUCAGAGUUUCCUUUCUUGUUAAAGAAUAAAUUUACUAAUAACUUUUUGUUAAGCCCUAUUCUAUGUAGCUGUUAAACAUGCCAUGCUUACGUGCACGUAGUACAUUCUGUGUCCUUGUACUUUAACCAAGAUAUCUGUGCUGGACAUGCUCACAGGCAUGUCCCAGCUCUCAGCCUAUGCCCCUUACCUGUUUAAAAAAUUUUUAAGUUGAUAGCCAAUCAGGUUUUAGGUUAGAUUGUAAGGUUUUAGUUUAGAUUGUAAGGUCUGGCUCCAACCAAGGGAGAUCAGACACAGCAGUAAGGACAACCCCAAAUGUACAAGGAAUAAAUAUGUUUCUUUUCCGUUGUUCAUCGUACUCUUGUGGCAAGAUGGCUAGCGAGGGUACUCUUCUUGCAGUCCAGGAAGCAAAAAUCGCUUUGCUGAGAGAUCCUUUGUUUCAGUCCUGAUUUUUCUUUGUGGCAUAGAACUUCUGUUUCCAAAAUAAAUGUAUUGCGUGAUCUCUGGAACACUGCAGUGACCAUUAUCUAAUCAGCAUUUGUUUAUUUUUCAAGUUGUCAAUCUUCAUCAAGACUUGACUUUGCCCAGUGAUGGCCAGAUAAAGUCAGACUUUAAAAUAUGUCAGAGAUAUUUUCAAGAAAACACAGAAGUAUCAAGAAGGACAAAGAAAUGCUUGUGACCUCAUUAGCCAUUGUUAACUAUGAACAUUUUUUGUGUAGAUUUUUCUAAAAAAAUUUUUUGAGUCGGAAUCUUGCUCUGUCACCCAGGCUGGAGUGCAGUGGUGCAAUCUCAGCUAACUGCAACCUCUGCCUCCCAGGUUCAAGCAAUUCUCCUGCCUUGGCCUCCCAAGUAGCUGGGACUGCAAGUACAUACCACCACACCUGGCUAAUUUUUGUAUUUUUUAGUAGAGAUGGGGUUUCACAAUAUUGACCAGGUUGGUCUUGGACUCCUGACCUCAGGUGAUCCACCCGCCUCAGCCUCCCAGUGUUGAGAUUGCAGGCAUGAGCCACUGCGCCUGGCCUAGAAUUUUUAAUAUACAUAGAUAUAUACAGUGAUAGCAUAUCAUAUAUGCUGUCGUGUUACUUGCUUUUUUCAAGUAAAUGUUGUAAGACCUUUUGUUGUUAUUAACUAUACAUUAUUUGAAUACCUGCUUAGUAUUUCACUACAGGGAAAUAUACAUUAUUUGACAAAUAUCUAAUUAUUAGACAUUUAAUAUUUUUCUUUUUUUUUUUGCUAUUCUAAAUGUGAGUUUGGUGAACAUAUUUGCACAUGUAGCUUUGUGUACUUGGCUAUUAUUUCCUGAAAAUUGAUUGUUAAAAAAUAGAAUUCCUGGGUCACAGGUAACCAAUUUUUUGAAAGGGUUUUUUUGCUAUUUGAUACCUAAGUGCCCUCCAGAAAUGUUUUACCAAUAUACAUUAAUUCCAGUAGCAUAGGAGAAUUGAAACAUGUUCUGACAACAGAUGUAGGUACAUGACUAAUAUCUUUUUUUUCUGAGACAGGUUGUUUUUUCCUAAGUCUUGAAUAUUCUGCAUCAUAUCUUGUUCAACCUGUUAAGCCUAUUAGUGAUUUUACCGGGAUAAAUUAAUAGUCAUCAUAUAUCCAUGCUUGUUUGAACAAAAUACUCAAGCAUCCAGAAUAUGAGUAGCUAGUCUUGCAGCAUUUGUGAAUGACUCACUUGUUUGUUUGAAAUGAGAAAACAUGGGAGGGGGCAAGUCAAAUGACUAUGAAUUUUCUUUAAAGGAGCUAUAAUACAGUAUGUAAGACCAGAGGACUAGCCCCAAUCCAAGCCUUUGGGGGAUAUAGUAUUGCACAUUCAAUCAUGUUAUAUUUAUUGCCAUAGAAUUGCAAACUAAAACAAAUGAUACAACUAUCCGUAAAGGUAACGGCUUCCCAAAGGCCGGGAUCCUAACCUUUCAGUUUGUACUUCAGUGUGCCUCUGAGAAGAAAUGUUAAAAGAGUAAUAUUGUAGGCUCAUUGGAUUUUUCUCAUGGAUUAUGGUUAAACUACACUUGUAAUGUUAUUUAAUGAUAAUCCAGGAAUCUUUUAGAACAGAAAGGAAUCUGUGAAAGCUAUGGUACUUGUGCUUAUUCUUGUUUUUUUCUAAGAUUUUUUUUUCUCUAAAAAAUGGGCUUAUUCUAGAAUUAAAUUUGUUGUAACUGAAGUGAAAUUAUUAUUUUUAUUAUUAUUUUUAGAGAUGAGUCUCCAUCUGUUGUCCAGGCUGUAGUGCAGUGGUGCAGUCAUAUCUCACUGCAGCCUCGAACUUCUGAGCUCAAGUGAUCCUUCUGCCUCAGCCUCUCAAGUAGCUGAGGCUAAAAGUGUGUGUGCCACCACGUCUGGCUAGUUAUUUUCUAAUUUUUUGGAGAGACGCAGAGUCUCACUUUGUUACUCAGACUGGUCUUGAAACUCUUGGCCUCAAGCAGUCCUCCCACCUUAGCCUCUCAAAGUGCUGGGAUAAUAAGCAUGAGCCACCUGCCUGUCCCAAGCUGAAAUUAUUCAAGAAUCUUUUUCCUACUUAGAUUUACUUCAUUCUCUAUUUAAUGAAGACAUGCUUUGACAGAAUUUGUUGUGGUGUUUCUUUUUUUUUUGAGACAAGGUCUCACUCUGUCACUUAGUCUAGAGGGCAGUGGCACAAUCACGGUUCACUGCAGCCUUGACUUUCUGGGCUCUAGCGAUCGUCUCACCUCAGCCUCCUGAGUAUCUGGGACUACAGGCCUGGGCCACCAUGCCCAGCUAAUUUUUGUAUUGUUUGUAGAGAUAGGGUUUCACCAUGUUGCUCAGGCUGGUCUCAAAUUCCUGGGCUUAAGCAAUCUAUUUUCCUAGGCCUCCCAAAGUGCUGGGAUUAUAGGUGUGAGCCGCCGUGCCCAGCCUGGUGGUAGUAUUUCUUAUCUGUCUUUACUGCUGUUAAAUUAAGGAGGUAUAGGAGAUGGAAUAAAUAUUGCUUUCUGUGUCUUCGGUCAGGUUUCAUAUUUUUCUCUCCCAGAUUUCAAGGAAGGAGUACUUUUAUUAUAAAAAUGGUUCUCAACUGGGAGUAGUGGCUCACGCCUGUAAUCUUAACACUUUGGGAGGCUGAGGCAGGUGGAUCACCUGAGGUUGGAAGUUCAAGACCAGCCCGACCAACAUGGAGAAAACCCGUUUCUACUAAAAUACAAAAUUAGCCAGGCAUGGUGACGCAGGCCUGUAGUCCCAGCUACUCGAGAAGCUGAGGCAGGAGAAUUGCUUGACCCCAGAAGGUGGAGGUUGCAGUGAGCUGAGAUCACACCAGUGCACUCCAGGCUGGGCAACAAGAGUGAAACUCCGUCACAAAAAAAUAAAAAAGGUUCUGUAUAAUCAAGUCUGAGUUUGAUUCCUUAAAUAUUCAAGUGGAAGUACUGAGACAUAUGUUAACCUUAGACUCAAGUUGUAGAUCACUGACACCUUAGAUGUUCCAACACAGCUCAAUUAAGUAGAGGAAGUAUAUAAAAUGAAUAAAUGAUUUAAAAGCAGUGCUGAUGCUGGGUAUGCUACUGCAGAAAAGGAACUAUGUAGGUGUAGUUCUUCCUGCUAGCUGGAGUUAAAACUGCUAGGUUAAGUCACUGGGGCUCAUGGGUCUUCAGAGAUACAGUGUUUUGAAUCAGCCAAGGAGUAGGAGGAAUGUGAAGUGUUAUUUGAAGAAAGGACAUCAUACAAGUGUUUUAGAAAAGCUGUGGUAGGAAUGCCCAGGCGGGUGGAUCACUUGAGGUCAGGAGUUUGAGACCAGCCUCGCCAACAUGAUGAAACCCUAUCUCUACCAAAAAACACAAAAAUUAGUUGGUUGUGGUGGUGCAUGCCUAUAAUUCCAGUUACUCAGAGGCUGAGGUGAGAAUUGCUUGAACCUGGGAGGAGGAGGUUGCAGUGAGCUGAGAUCACUCCACUGCAUUCCAGCCUGGAUGACAGAGUGAGACUCUGUCUCAGGAAAAAAAAAAAAAAAAAAAGUUGUAGGAAAAAUAACUCUUAAUUAGCUCAUUAUGUUAGUUGCCGGAUUUAGAUUAUAUUCAAUUAAUGUAAUAAGCAAAACAUCAUGAAGUAUUCUUACCACUGGGUAUUUUUUUAAUUCCCGUGCUCUUCCAUCCCCAAAGAGUCAACUGUUAGAUGUUAGAACGUCAUUCUUUUAACCCCGGAUGCAUAACUUGGCAGGAGGUGCCCAGUGUUUUCUUGGCUAUUCUUUGGUUGUGGAGAAAUAUUAAUUCUCCUUUACAGCUGACAUUCAGACAUAUCUUAAAUUUUAAAAUGUGUUCAUUGGUAGUCAAGAGGAGUGUAAGGGUGAUUUUUACAAAUGUUAAGAAUUAUAGUCCAGGCCGGGUGCCAUGGCUUACACCUGUAAUCUGCACUUUGGGAGGCUGAGGUGGGUGGAUCACCUGAGGUCAAAAGUUUGAGCCUGGCCAACAUGGUGAAACCCCGUCUCUACUAAAAAUACAAAAAUUAGCUGGAUGUUGUGGCGGGUGCCUGUAAUCCCAGCAACUCAGGAGGCUGAGGCAGGAGAAUCACUUGAACCUGGGUUGCAGUGAACCAAGAUCGUGCCACUCUACUACUCCAGCCUGGGCAAAAGAGCAAGACUCUAUCUCAAAAAAAAAAAAAAAGAAUUAUAGUCCACAUCUCAAGCAUGUUAUACGUAGUGACUUCCUUGUUCCCUUCCCCUUUGUCAGCGUAUGUCAAUGUUUGGUUGGUGUCCAGCCCUGUCUUGGUAUGAGUACAGGUCACUUGACUAGGCUGUAGACAUAACAGGUAUGGGGGAAACAGGGGUACAACUAUAAAUUUAAAAGAAACAAAACAUUAAAAAGUCAUUCUCCUUCCUGCUAGCACCAAGAAAGUCCUUUUGUCGAGUGGAUUUUGUUAUUUGUAAUUAUUUUAAUCUCAAUUUAAAAUUAGAAGGAUUUGGAUAGUCUCAUUUAUGGACCCAGCAAUCCUACUACAGGGUAUAUCCAAAGGAAAUUAAAACAUACCAUGUCAAAGAGAUAUCUGCACUCCCAUGUUCAUUAGAGCAUUAUUUGCAAUACCAAGAUGUGGAAACAACCUGGGUCUGUCAGUGGAUACACGGAUAAAGAAAAUGUGGUAUUUAUCUAUAAUGGAAUAUUAUCCAGCCUUAAGAAUAAGGAAAGCCUGCUAUUUGCUACAAUAUGGAUGAGGCUGGAGAGGAUGUUUUGCAAAGUGAAAUCAGCUAGACAUAGAGGCAUAUACUGCACAUUAGCACUUAUAUGUGGAAUUUUUAAAGAGUUGAACUUCUACAGAGAGUACAGUGGUGUUACCAAGGACUCGGGUGUCGGGGGGGUAGGUUGUGGGAGACAUAGGAGAUGUUGGUUGAAGGGUAUACAGUUUGAUUAUGCAGGAGGAAUACAUUCUGGGGGGGUCUAACAUACAGCCUGGUGACUAUACAUGAUAACGUAUGAAAUUUGUUAAGAGAUUACAUCUGAAGUGUUUCCAUUACACACAUAAACAGAAAAAGUAACUAUGGGAGGUGUUGGCUAUGUUAAUUAGCUUGAUUGUGGUAAUCAUUUCUUUUAUAUACAAAUGUAUAUAAAAUCAUCGCGUUGUACACCUUAAAUAUAUACAAUUUUUAUUUGUCAAUUCAGUAAAGCUGGGGGCAGGGGAGGAGGUGGAGAGUUACAAACUCUUACAGCCUCAUUUAUGGACCAUAAUAGAACUCAGUGACAGCUAGAGACUUCACUUUUAGGAGAUGGCUGUAGAUAGCAAAAGGUUUCUGCCAAGAUCAUUUUACAAUUUCCUCAUCAUUAGUUUUAUUAUUUUAUUCUUUCAAAAACUAAGAACAUGUUCAGCAGUUUUUUUCUUUUAAUAUAUAUAUAUAUAUUUUUUGAGAUGGAGUCUUGCUCUGUCGCCAGGCUGGAGUGCAGUGGCACAAUCUCGGCUCACUGCAACCUCUGCCUGCUGGGUUCAAGAGAUUCUUCUGCAGCCUCCCGAGUAGCUGGGACCACAGGCGAGUCCCACCACACCCGGCUAAUUUUUGUAUUUUUAGUAGAGACGGAGUUUCACCAUGUUGGCCAGGAUGGUCUUGAUCUCUUGACCUUGUGAUCUGCUGCCUCAGUCUCCCAAAGUGCUGGGAUUACAAGGCGUGAGCCACUGCGCCCAGCCCUUCUUUUAAUAUUUUAAAAUAUUUAAUCUUAUAUUUAGUUAUAUCUUAAAACUUUUUUUGGGGGGAGUUGUUUUCUCAUUGAAAUUAUUUAUAGACUCUUUUUCAUUACUUAUAUGUAGUUCAUUUUUCAAAUAGUUUAGGGAUAUUGUAGAAGCACCCAAUUUCCAGACAGAAAUUGAAGACGUGUUUCAUGUAGACAAGGUGAAUCAGCCCUAGCGUUGCUUCUCUCUCUCUUCUGUGUUAACAAGUGUAAUAAAAGGUAAAUCUGUCAUAGGAGAAAUGAAAUAUGAAUGUUUCCAUGUUUGAUCAUUCUUGUUUUUUUUUUUUAAAAAAAAAGAAAAAGCAUUGGUUUUAGGGCUGACAGUCUGCCAGGAACUGUGGGUCUUCUAAAAUAGGAGGAGCCAGGUUCUGAAUGACGUCAUUGAGCAGCUGCGCUAAUCCUGGAUGGAUGGACUGACUGCAGACUGGACAUUCUAUUACAUGAGGGGAAAAAAUGUCUGUUUACCCCAGUGCAGGAUCUUUUUGUUGUGGGUGAAAGCAUUCCUAAGGAUACGUUAUCUAUGGGGAAAAAUUAGCACCACACUCCACAUUGAUUCUGUUACUGAGAUUUAAAGAGCAUCUAGAAUAUUAUGGGGAAAUGGAAGCUGUGAUCUAGAUAAUAAAUCCGCGUAGGAAUGAGAAGGGAGAAACAAAAGUUGCUAAUGUGUAAUGAGGUGAUAGACACAGGCGCACUGAGGACUGGCGUUUUCAGUUGACCCCUAAAUAAAACUGACAUUCCAUCUCCAGGCUUGGAUGUACUUAGGCUUCCCUUUUUUGGCAGCUUCUUUUGAAGCUGAAUGCUUUUUUAGAUCACAUCAAUAGCACAUCCUAAUUAUCCAGCUAGGAAAACAUUAUUAAGAAACCCGAGGCAGGUUCUCAACACCAGAAAUUAUCCUGUGAGGACAACCACAGAGAAAACUUACCCUUCCUUACACACCAUGUUUAAUUACUUAUUUCCAUGUUUAUCAGCUGCACUAAUCAAUUCUCAUUUAUAGAAGAUUUAAACCUGACAUAUUAUUGCUUUAAUCUGUUUCACUAUCCUCCCCCCCAUAAAAUACACAUGCACAUUUCAACUCACAGGUGGCGAUCUGCAGUUCGAACUGGAUUUCCAUGCUGACCGCACUCAUGCAUAAUUGGGCAAUCACACUCACAAAUGCAUUGCUCUGAGAGGGCUACAUGAUUUACAGCCAGAACAACAUCUUAGGCAGGAAGGAGCCUAUAUCGAGGCACCUGGAAAAUCAACACAGAUUUUCUUCUGUUGAAAAACCAGAUUUUUAAAAAUUGGAGUUAAUGUGUUUUUAAUUCACAUUUGAUCUUUUCUAUAAUUUUGUAAAAGAAACUCAUAAGUUUUCAGAAAAGUUUUAUAAGCAAAUUAUCAGAGGCCUCGGAUGAUGUUAGAAACUCAGUGCCAAAGAUUCCUCUUUAUAAAGAUACCAGAAGUCAUUCCUUUCAUUGAGGACAAUUGAACAUUUUAGAUCUACAGUUUGUGUCUUUGUCACAUGGGUUCCUCCUCACAGUCACGAGUUGCCUGCUGCAUCUCCAGGACCUAUUCAAGGUAGAAAGAAGAGGAAAGAGGGAGGGCUUUCUCUGAGUGAGGUUUUUUUUUGGGAGGUAAACUCUUUCUGGUGACUUCUGCUUUUAUCACAUUGGUACUGUGCAUGUCUACUUCUGCCUGCCUGAGGGGGUCUUGUAUUUUUUUUUUACAGGACACAAGGCUGCCCUAGGAAGUAAUUGGUGUUGUAUUAGUAAGAAAGAGAGGCCAAUGGAUACUGGAUUGGCACAGAGUAUAUGCCACAGUAUGCUGUUAUUAUUUUGCUGAUUUUAUUUGGAUAUAAUUGUUUUGAAAUAAUUGCUCCCAUUAAAAUAGUAGUACUUUAUGUGGCUUUGCUUAACUUAGUUUAGUUUCAAAGUUAUGAACAUAAACUUAGUACUCAUUGUAUUAGAAAGUAAAGGACAAUUGUAAUUUUGUUUUCAACUAUUGCCAUUGAAUGUGAUCCAUUUUUCUCUGAUUCAUCUUAGUGUUGUAAACUACUUAAAAGUCAUGCCAAGUUAAGUGUCUAUUUCUCAGAUUUUUAAAACAUCAUUCCAUAGCCUCUUAUAAAGCAACUACUUUUCUAGGAAGAAUGGACAGCAAGAGAUCAGUGGAUGAGAAUGAUAAGAAAUAUUAGAGCUUCUAAUCUGCUGGGCCAAGUGGGGAGAGCAGUUGCUAACUAUAAUGAAAGGAAGCAUGAAAUACAAGCUAGAUAUGGAGGUUAGAGGUUAGAGGAAACAUUUCUACAAGUCCUGUGGGAAGCGGGUGACAUUGGGGACAUAAAAUUAAGGUAGUGUUAUUGUUUGAUAUCCACGUUUUUAAUUGUAUUUUUAUGAAACUGAAUUUGUAUAUUACAGAACAAUCUUGUCACUUUAGUGAGGAAGGAAAAGGGACUUUAUGAGUCAAGGAUGUCAUUAGAAACAUGUUAAUUCCUUAGUCUCUUUCCCUCCUUGUUCUAGAGCUCUGCCAACUUCCAGUGCUUAAAAUAACCACUUAAGGUGUGUGAAUAUGUUAUGGAUUUUAGUUUCCCCAAAUAAAAUACUGUAACCUAAUCAAAUUAUCCACCAGUAUGGAAAAAAUUCUUAAAAAAAAUCGAAGCUCAUAGAGCAGACAUUGUCAAUCCCGUUCCACACAUCCUCUGACUCAUAACAUUCAUGUGCACACCCACAGAUUGUGGCUGGUUUCUUUUCACAUAAUUAGAAUCAUACUAUACAUAUUGUUCUGCAACUGGCUUUUCCCCACCUCAUAACAUCUUUUAAAAAUUCUUUUCUCCUCAUUACACAUGGAAUAGUGGGUUUUUGUUUUGUUUUUUCAGUCAAGGCUGGUACCACCCUUACCUCGGGAUUAAAAUACACACACACACACACACACACACACACACACACACACACGAGCAUUUUAUGAAGAAAUAGUUGGCCCAGAAUACUAAUAACAUCUCAUUGAGAAACAGUGAUAUGUGUACUGACAAGAAACUGAAUUUUUCACAAAAGAAAAUGAUAUGGAAAUACCUGUUGUUUUUAAUAUUUCUUUUUUUUUUUUUUUAAUUUUUUAUUGGAUUUUAGGUUUUGGGGUACAUGAGCAGAGCAUGCAAGACAGUUGCAUAGGUACUCACAUGGCAGUGUGCUUUGCUUUCCUUUUCCCCUUCACCCACGUUUGGCAUUUCUCCCCAGGCUAUCCCUCCCCACCUCCCCCUCCCACUGGCCCUCCCCUUUUCCCCCCAAUAGACCCCAGUGUUUAGUACUCCCUUAAAAAAUUGAAAUAAUUAAAAAAAUAUGAUUGUACCCGAAGUAUUUUCUCAUCAAUGGCCAGUGUCUUUAAACAUCUACUGGUCUGCAUGUGCAAGAGCAUAGCACAAACUAGAAGAAUUGCUGGGUCAAAGGAUAUGCAUGUUCAAAAUUUACCGAUGCUCCCAAAUCACUCUCCACAAUGACUUUACAAAACUGCAGUCCUAAUAACAGCAUACACAUUUUCCCACGUUUUUCAACAUGAUAGUAUCAGUUAAUAUAUUUUGCAAGCAUAAUAAGAAAAAAUAAAGUCAUGUUUACAUUUCCAUUUUCCCAUCCAAAAAAGUCUGCAACAGAGUACCUUCAGUUUCAUGAUAAUGAUUAAUUUGCUCUUAGAUAUGCAGUUUGUACUCAUCUGCUCUGGAUUCUCUGCUGCCUCUUUCAUUCAUGUAUCAAAAGCAGACUCAUUUACAAAUCAGUCACCUCUUUGGAGUGUGUUUUUAGUCCCACCUGCACAGGAUGUCACACUGAUCCUGAUUGGCAGGAGUAGAUUUUAUGAAGAACUAUGAAUUGGUGUUUGCAGAGAGAGAGAGAGAGAGCUGUAUUUUCCAAACUGUGGUUGCUACUGCAUCAUUGGGUUGGUGAAACCAAAUUAAGGACAAUGAGCAAUGUAAAUAAAGCAAUAGAAUAUAAAAUAUUGGAGAGUAUCAUACAGUAACCGGGUAACACAUGUUUCGUGAAACAUUUUCUAUGUAUUUGUAUGUUUUCAAUAUGUGUUUCUACAUGUGUAUAUAUGCACAUAUUAUAUGAGUAGUGCAUUUUGAUGUGAAAUAUUUCUGAGUUAAGAAAUGCCCGUAUGGGGAAUCUCAGCUUUAAACAUUUAUUCAAAGCACAGUUUAUUACUGCCCUGCCUGAGGCAACAGUUUGAUACUUGAUAGUGGCAUUGCAGAAAAUAAGUUGUCAAUCAUAUCAAUACUUUGUGAAGGGUUAAAGACUAAGCCUUUUUUUUUUUUGAGACAGAGUCUCGCUCUUUUGCUGGCUGGAGUGCAGUGGCACUAUCUUGGUCCCCUGCAACCUCUGCCUCCCAGGUUCAAGCAAUUCUCCUGCCUCAGCCUCCCAAGUAGCUGGGAUUACAGGUGCAUGCCACCACACCCAGCUAAAUUUUGUAUUUUUAGUAGAGACAUGGUUUUACCAUGUUGGCCAGGAUGGUCUUGAUCUCUUAACCUCAUGAUCUGCCCUCCUUGGCCUCCCAAAGUGCUAGGAUUACAGGAGUGAGCUACCAUGCCCAGCCAAGACUAAGGCUUUUUAAGAGGAACUUAAAUGCUUAGAGAUACAUAUCACCUAUUUGGACUUGGAGAUACAAUAGGAAUGGAAAGUCAAAUUGUCUUGGGUGCAGAAUGAAGUGUUACGCCCUACUAAACUUAAAUUUCACUGAGCGAUUUAAUUUUCCUUGCUCCAAUGCAGUUACUGAACUUGACUCUGUGGUAGCUGUUUUGCUCUGCAGGCAAGAGAAUGCAGAGGAAAUCCUUGAAUUUCAACAGCUUCUCCCUGUGAGUGGGCACAAGUGCAACUGAUUAUCCAAAAGUAGUCGCUUAAACUAAUUUAGACUAUUUAGCUAACCUUAAUCCCAACGCUGAUCUUAUGUUGCUUAGAAAAUUACCUGUUGGUGAUUAUAAUAAAUGGAGGCAAUUAAAAUUUUAAAAAGUGAUGGAACAUUCUGCGUGUGGGUGUAUUUAAUUAUCUGGCAGGUGUUCAUAUUCCGACAGUGUGAAACUUAUGGGUAAACAAUGGCCUUUCUGUUAGAAAUUCUAUUCGCACUUUUGUGUUUCUCCCCUUUAGAGGUAGGUAUUUUCAAUUGCUUAGAGAAUAACCGUGAUGAUCUAACUAAUUUGUUUUGCAUUGUGUGUUUCCUAAGUGGUUACAUAUAUAUUUUUGCUUGUUUUCAACUGAUUUUAACUUUCUUACUUGAAUUAUUCUUGUUCAGUAAUUGCAUCUUCAUAAAAAAUGAUAUGAAUGGAAAUAUUAUUUUCUAGAUUUUAAAAUAAUGUUAGAAAAAUGGUCUUUUAAAGUUCUGUAAUAUAACCAUACCUUAAUUUAAAUUUUACGAGGUAUUAGUGAUCCAUUUUAGCAAAGGUAAACACAAAAUGAUAGACAUUAUUUCAUUGAGCAAAGAAGAUGAAGUGAAAGUUCUUUAAGGACUAUCGACCGGAACAUAACAUUUUUCAAUACUGAUGUUCUGAUACAGUUUCAUAGUCUGCAUUGUUAAUAAGAAACAGAGAGAAGCAGUGAGUAUAUUUAUUGUGUUACUUUAAAUUUAGGUAAAAGUAUUUAAUUGCAAAAAAGUGUGAAAUGAUUUUAUACACAUUCAGUCUAAUCAUAUCUUUGAGAUGGUAUUUUCUGUUGAUCCAUUUGUGUGUGGUCAGUGAUAGCAAGGUAUCUGAUACCUAUUGUGAUUUCUAAUGGGCACACCUGUCAACGUAACUUUGCUCAUGUAAGAGCUUUGAGCUCUUUGCUGAUGGUGAAUGUAAUGACUGACAUUUCUGUCUUGUAGCUUCUGGAACGUUCUUAGGAGAUCCUUCAGUUGAGUAUAUGGACAGUACAUAUGCUCUGGGUCCGUGUUAUUACUCCUAUCCUCUUCCCCUUGAAAACAUUCCUUUCCAUUCACCUUUCUUUCAUCUAAAGAAGCUGCUGCUACAUUUGGAAAGAGGAGACAAGGUUAGGGAUAGGUGAUUUCUGAGUAAGUGUUGAAGUUUUGUUGUUUCUACAACUGUUUUAUUUGCGUCAUAACGUAAAAUGAUGUAAAAUGCUAAUUAAACCAAUUGGCUUGAUGAAAGAAGCUUGCAGAUUGUAAAAAGAAACUCUUAUGAGUAGAUGUUUAGAAAUACAAAGGAAAACUGUCAUACCACAGUUUGUGCUCCAGAAUUUAUUUUGUGAGUUUCUUUGAAUGGAAUUCUUUGUGUUCCUUAACCGUUUUGCUUAUUUAAAUAAUAAAUGGAAAAAAGCUUGUCUCAACAUUUAGAUUAAACUGAAGAAAUAUCAAUAAAGGUCAGUUGUAAUACACAUGAGUUUUUUAUUUGAAAAAUAUUAGAUACUGCAUUAAGUUGGCUGUCGUGUGUAGCUAUUAAAACUUAACUGAUGAGUUUUAUGGCAAGUUAUCAAAAUACGAGGUAAUUUAGAACAACUUUGUUACAAUCACAUCGAACUUGCUUUAGUUAAGGAAGACCCAAACACAAAGCCUUAUGUGCUGGGGAGGAAAGCCCUCUAUCUGCCAAUCUUCUUCAUCUACACCAAGUACACUGUGCAAGUGGAUGCUAUGAUACGGCUUUUCCAAGGCCUGAACCCCUGGUUGAUGUCCAGUGCCCUUUCCACUGUGACCUGGGGUAGCUUGAAGAAGGUUUUCCCUCUGGAUGAGAUUGAGCAGGUUUCCAACAAGGAUGAUAUGAAGAUUUUGCUGAAGAAAGUUGUGAAGGAGACCUCCUACGAGAUGAUGAUGCAGUGCGUGUCCGCAUGUUGGCCCACCCGCUGCGUGUCAUUUCAAUGCGCUGCAUGGUCCAGUUUGUGGGAUGGGAAGCCAAAUACAGUGGUGUGCUGAGCUCCAUUGGGAAGACUUUUCAAAGAGGAAGGGCUGCUGGGUGGGAUUUGUUGGAUUAAUCCCUUACCUCCUUAAUUUGUUGGGCAAUGUGGUUUUUUUGUGGGGCCGUAACCUGCUGGCCCACUUCAUCAGUGCCUACCUGGUGGAUGACAGCUUCUGCCAGGCCCUGGCCAUCCAGGGCCACACCAAGUAUAUGAUGGGGAUUGCAGUGAGCAUGCUGACCUACCCCUUCCUGCUAGUUGGCAACCUGCAGGCUGGGCUCCCCUGUUACUUGCCGGUGUUCAAAUCCUGGAUUCACUGCUGGAAGUACUUGAAUAUAAAGGGCCAGCUCUUCUGAGACUCCAACCUGCUUCUCCACUGGGUGUCAUCAGGAUCAUGCUUUGCCCUGGAGUAACUUGAAUCAUCUAAAACAUGGUCUUAGGACCUGGGCACCACCAGUGAGACCUGACCGUCUUGGGAUACCUGCAAGAUGACUCCAACCCAGCAACAACCAGGUGUGUUCCAGCCCAGCCGGGCUUCAGUUUCCAUAUUUGCCAUGUGUCUGUCCAGAUGUGGGGUUGGGUAUGGGCGGGGCUGCACCCAGUGGAUUGGGUCACAUGUCAGACCCGGUGAAGGUGGGGAAAGAUGGGGAUUUGGCAGAAUCUCUGUACCUCCUGGAUUUGCUGAGUCUGUCUUGUGUAGAAGGCCAGAGAAUGGCAUGUGGGGGUCCAGGUUGGACAGGGAAAGGCUAAUGGGGUCAAACCACACCCUGUCUACCUCUCCAGUCAGCCCAGUGCAUAUCCUGCAGCUCAGCUGGGAGCAUCAUACUCCUGCAUUGUAAAUAGGGUGUGAUUCCCUGGCACACGGCCACCGUCAUGUCUAGGCCUAUGCUAGGAGGCGGAUGCCAGGCUCUGCCUGCGUUUUUCUCAAUACUGCUCUUCUGAUAUGAGGGCAGCUCCUUCCUCUGAAUGGGAAAUCAUGUGACUACUCAGAAUAUGUCCUCCUCAUCUAAUGCUCAUCUGUUUAAUGGUGGUGCCUUGUGUACAGGAUCUGGUUACCUGUGCAGGUGUGAAUACCCAGAGGUUGGGCAGAUCAGCAUCUCUAGUCCUACCCAGUUUUAAAGCUCGUGGUAUGAUUUGACCUCAUCUCCUGCAAAUAUAUGUACUGGUG